AGUGAACGCUGGCGGUAGGCCUAACACAUGCAAGUCGAACGGCAGCACAGUAAGAGCUUGCUCUUACGGGUGGCGAGUGGCGGACGGGAGAGGAAUAUAUCGGAAUCUACUUUUUCGUGGGGGAUAACGUAGGGAAACUUAAGCUAAUACCGCAUACGACCUACGGGUGAAAGCAGGGGAUCUUCGGACCUUGCGCGAUUGAAUGAGCCGAUGUCGGAUUAGCUAGUUGGCGGGGUAAAGGCCCACCAAGGCGACGAUCCGUAGCUGGUCUGAGAGGAUGAUCGGCCACACUGGAACGGGGACACGGUCCAGACGCCUGCGGGAGGCAGCAGUGGGGAAUAUUGGACAAUGGGCGCAAACCUUGUCCAGCCAUACCGCGUGGGUGAAGAAGACCUUCGGGUUGUAAAGCCCUUUUGUUGGGAAAGAAAAGCAGCAGGUUAAUACCACGCUGUUCUGACGGUACCCAAAGAAUAAGCACCGGCUAACUUCGUG
rnacentral:rRNA from 1 species